rnacentral:lncRNA from 1 species
UUUAAGCUUAAUUUUUCACAAGAAAAAUAUUUCAGAUAUAUAAGCAGUCUUAAAGACCAUCAUUUAAAUUCCCUUUGGCAUAAGAUGAAACUGAAACACAAGCAAAGUAAGUAAUGGUAAUGAUCUCAACAUCAAACAGCUAGUUAAUGUCUACUAAUUCAUUUUAAAAGUUUAAUUCAAGAUUAUGAUAGUUUUUUCAUAUCUAGGAAGAUAUUAAUGGAAGAGGGAAAGAAGACCCCUGUUACCACAUUCUCUGAAAACCAUUGUACACCUCAUCUCUUGGCUACCCUUAAACUUGAAAAGAAUCAUCAAUGUCUAAUGGGAAAACGAAUGUCAAGAGAUCAAGUGAUGUCUCAGGAUGCAAUGGAUUAGGACAGGGCCUCUUCAAUGUCUAAGUAAGUUUUAAAACUUCCAGAUUUCCUGCUUGCAUUGUUUUCAUGGAAUAAAUCCCUUUCAUCCAUCCCUCCCCCCA